CCCGGCCCCGCCCCACGCCGCGCUACGGCCCGCCGGGCCCCGCAGGGAGUUCGAAGGCUCCGAGGCUGCUCCCAUACGCACUGGUGGAAGGAGAGGCCGCGCUCCCGGCUGAGCACGGUGUCACGGGUGCUGCAGCCCACUGCGGAGCAACUUCGGGUCAUCUUCUUGUUACGUGGGGCCCCACCUUCGGGGUUCCCGCGACAGCAUGAAUCACGACCACUUUAGCUCCGCCCGUUGACUGCGGCUACGACCUUUAUUUGUCAGGAAAGGCGGGCUUUAGAGGCGCGGGACUUCCACACUUCCUCUCCGAAGGCCCUGCGCCGGUACCGUAGCCAAUCACAGGCCACGUUAUGUCGCAGCAGCCAAUCGGAAGGGCCUGAGCCUGAAGACGUGCACUUGACCGCUCCUCCUUCCGCGUUGGAGGCCCAAUAGUGGGUUGUGCUGCCACAGGUUCAUUUUCCUUCUGUUUUCACCCAUUCUGGCACAAUCCGCCGCCAUCGUCGUUCUUUGUGAGACCGAGCCUGAAAAUGCGAAGCAGAGAGGCAGGACCAAAAUUGAGGCGAAUCCGGGAACCUGCCAAUGGGUCUCCGGAUGCGUUCUCUGAAACUGGAGGAUAUCGGGAGGAAAGGCUCUCCGAUGCGGAGAUAAUGCGGAAACUCUUGGCAUGGUUGGCUGUAGGUACCUGAUACGGGAGGAGCGGGAGUCAAAUAGGAUACGCCGACUUUUAAUUCGAGGAACCCUUUUCUGAAACACUGCCACAAUGAAGGACAUAAGGAAUAAAAUUGAAGGGUGUUUUUCUUAGAGAACAUCAUUUGUCAUAUUUAUUUGAUCAAGAAGUUGAAGAUUUAUGUAAUAAGGAUCUAGUUUGAAGCACUAAGAAGAAUAAGACAUCAGUUUGAAAAGAGGCUCUGUCAGAGCAACACGAAUUCUGCUAAAAUUGAAGGAAGAACAAACAUCAAAUAUAUGUUGACACUUGGGUGGAAGAAUGGUGAGCUAAUUGAUGCUUUAUGAAAAGUUUAUGGGGACAAUGCUCCAAAGAAAUCAGUUUACAAAUGGAUAACUCGUUUUAAGAAGGGAUAAGGUAAUGUUGAAGAAGAAGCCCACAGUGGCAGAUCAUCCACAUCAGUUUGUGAGAAAAAAAUUAGUUCAUGGCAUAAUUGAAGAAAACCAACAGUUAACAGCAGAGACGACAGCCAACACCAUAGACAUCUCAGUUGGUUCACCUUACACAAUUUUGACUGGAAAAGUUCAGCAAACUUUAUACCUGAUAGGUACCAAAACCACUGCACCCAGAUCAACUACAGAGAACAGAACUUUCAAUGGAAAUUUUAAAUAAGUGGGAUCAGGAUCGUGAAGCCUUUCAUUGAAAAAUUGUAACAGGAGAUGAAACAUGGUUUUACCAGCGCAAUCCUGAAGACAAAACACAAAGCAAUGUUACCAAGAUAAGAAGUAGUUCAGUCAAAGCACAAGUGGACUGGUUGAGAACAAAGAUCAUGGCAACAGCUUUUGAAUGCUCAAGGCAUUUUGCUUGUUGACUUUCUGUAGGGCCAAAGAAUGGUAACGUGCUUAUCAUGGGAGUAUUUUGAGAAACUUAGCCAAAGCUUUAGCAGAAAAAUGCCCGAGAAAGAUCAGAGAGUUCUUCACCACAACAAUGUUCCUACUCAUCCCUCUCAUCAAACAAGGGCAAUUUUGCAAGAGUUUUGAUGGGAAAUCACUAGGCAUCCACCCUACAGUCCUGGUUUGGCUCCUUCUGACUUUUUGUUUCCUAAUCUUAAAAAUUUUUUUAAGGGCAGUACAUUUUUCUAAAGUUAAUGUAAAAACACUGCAUUGAUGUGGGUAAAUUCCCAGAACUCUCAGUUCUUUAGGGAUGGACUAAAUUUUAUAGCUGGUAUCAUCACUUACAAAAGUGUCUUGAACCCUAUAGAGCUAAUGUUCAGAAAUAUCGUUUAUAUUUUUAUCUUUUAAUUCCAUUUUUCUACAAACUUUUUGAAGUCUCCUUGAAUAUGUACCCUUUAUAAAGGGGAAAAAUUCUGUGACUAAUGUUGACUUAAUGCUGACUUAAUUUUCUAUUUUGUAAAUAUAUACAAACAUAAAAGUUGAUACAAAUUUUGUUCAUAGCCCUUAACAAAUUUGUGAAAUAAAUGCAUUCAGAAACAAACUAAAACAUUAAUGAAAUGGAUGCUACUGUUUUACUGAGGUGUAAACAUAGUACUGGCUGCUAUGGAAACAGUUACAUAAACAGUCAUGUGCCUUGUGAUGA